rnacentral:rRNA from 1 species
GAUGAACGCUGGCGGCGUGCCUAAUACAUGCAAGUCGAGCGAACAGACGAGGAGCUUGCUCCUCUGACGUUAGCGGCGGACGGGUGAGUAACACGUGGAUAACCUACCUAUAAGACUGGGAUAACUUCGGGAAACCGGAGCUAAUACCGGAUAAUAUAUUGAACCGCAUGGUUCAAUAGUGAAAGACGGUUUUGCUGUCACUUAUAGAUGGAUCCGCGCCGCAUUAGCUAGUUGGUAAGGUAACGGUUUACCAAGGCAACGAUGCGUAGCCGACCUGAGAGGGUGAACGGCCACACUGGAGCUGAGACGCGGUCCAGACUCCUACGGGAGGCAGCGGUAGGGAAUCUUCCGCAAUGGGCGAAAGCUUGACGAAGCAACGCCGCGUGAAUGAUGAAGGUCUUCGGAUCGUAAAACUCUGUUAUUAGGGAAGAACAAAUGUGUAAGUAACUAUGCACGUCUUGACGGUACCUAAUCAGAAAGCCACGGCUAACUACGUG